rnacentral:rRNA from 1 species
UACGUAGGGUGCAAGCGUUGUCCGGAAUUAUUGGGCGUAAAGGGCUCGUAGGCGGUUUGUCGCGUCGGGGAGUGAAAACUCAGGGCUUAACCCUGAGCCUGCUUCCGAUACGGGCAGACUAGAGGUAUGCAGGGGAGAACGGAAUUCCUGGUGUAGCGGUGAAAUGCGCAGAUAUCAGGAGGAACACCGGGUGGCGAAGGCGGUUCUCUGGGCAUUACCUGACGCUGAGGAGCGAAAGUGUGGGGAGCGAACAGG